rnacentral:rRNA from 1 species
UACGUAGGGUCCGAGCGUUGUCCGGAAUUACUGGGCGUAAAGCGCGCGCAGGCGGCCCGCGAGGUGUCACGUGAAAGCCCCGGGCUCAACCCGGGAGGGUCGUGGCAAACCGGCGGGCUUGAGGACGGUAGAGGGGGGUGGAAUUCCCGGUGUAGUGGUGAAAUGCGUAGAGAUCGGGAGGAACACCUGUGGCGAAGGCGGCCCGCUGGGCAGUGGCUGACGCUGAGGCGCGACAGCGUGGGAGCAAACAGG